UCUUCAGAGACAAUGCAAAGCAGACUUCAAGGUAAGAUAGACCAGGCUUAAAACCCCGGCCUCACCAUUAUUAAUUAUGCAAUCCUGUGCAAGACAAAUGACCCUUUGGGAGAUCAUGAACUCCAGACAAAACUCAAGGAGCAAGAAAUCUACACAAGAUUUUUACAUCAUGUCAAAGAGUUCUCUGAUUUCUGGAAGGCCAUAUGUGCCCAUUUUUUCAACAGUAUUCAGCAAGUUCAACCACCUACCCAGAACAUUGUGAUGGGAACAGAGAAAGGGGAGAGGGAUGUGAGAGGAUGAGCUCUCGAAAGUUUCAUAGCAGCAAAGGAAAACAAUGAACUUAAAAAAAAAGGUUAACAUAUGGAAAGACAUUGAGAAGAUCAGCAUUCUAGACUGGAUUCUUUCCACAAAAUGGAAUUUUGCCACAAAAACCCAAAGGGUGGGAGAACUCAGAAAACUUCAAGGCACUUUUCCCGACACCUUUAGCUAC